rnacentral:rRNA from 1 species
UACGGGGGGAGCAAGCGUUGUUCGGAUUUACUGGGCGUAAAGGGCUCGUAGGCGGCCAACUAAGUCCGACGUGAAAUCCCAAAGCUUAACCUUGGAACUGCGUCGGAUACUGGAUGGCUUGAAUUCGGGAGAGGGAUGCAGAAUUCCAGGUGUAGCGGUGAAAUGCGUAGAUAUCUGGAGGAAUACCGGUGGCGAAGGCGGCAUCCUGGACCAUUACUGACGCUGAGGCGCGAAAGCUAGGGGAGCAAACGGG